UACGUAGGGCGCAAGCGUUGUCCGGAAUUAUUGGGCGUAAAGAGCUCGUAGGCGGUUUGUCGCGUCUGCUGUGAAAUCCCGAGGCUCAACCUCGGGCUUGCAGUGGGUACGGGCAGACUAGAGCGCGGUAGGGGAGACUGGAAUUCCUGGUGUAGCGGUGGAAUGCGCAGAUAUCAGGAGGAACACCGAUGGCGAAGGCAGGUCUCUGGGCCGCAACUGACGCUGGAGG
rnacentral:rRNA from 1 species